UACGGAGGAUCCAAGCGUUAUCCGGAUUUAUUGGGUUUAAAGGGUGCGUAGGCGGCUUAUUAAGUCAGGGGUGAAAGACGGUGGCUCAACCAUCGCAGUGCCUUUGAUACUGAUGAGCUUGAAUACACUUAGGUAGGCGGAAUGUGACAAGUAGCGGUGAAAUGCAUAGAUAUGUCACAGAACACCAAUUGCGAAGGCAGCUUACUAAAGGUGCAAUUGACGCUUGAGGCACGAAAGCGUGGGGAUCAAACAGGAUAG
rnacentral:rRNA from 1 species